rnacentral:rRNA from 1 species
CACGUAGGGGGCAAGCGUUGUCCGGAUUUAUUGGGCGUAAAGAGCUCGUAGGCGGUUCGGUAAGUUGGGUGUGAAACCUCCAGGCUCAACCUGGAGACGCCACCCGAUACUGCUGUGACUAGAGUCCGGUAGGGGAGCGUGGAAUUCCUGGUGUAGCGGUGAAAUGCGCAGAUAUCAGGAGGAACACCAGCGGCGAAGGCGGCGCUCUGGGCCGGAACUGACGCUGAGACGCGAAAGCGUGGGGAGCAAACAGG